GAUGAACGCUGGCGGCGUGCCUAAUACAUGCAAGUCGAGCGAAUGGAUUAAGAGCUUGCUCUUAUGAAGUUAGCGGCGGACGGGUGAGUAACACGUGGGUAACCUGCCCAUAAGACUGGGAUAACUCCGGGAAACCGGGGCUAAUACCGGAUAACAUUUUGAACCGCAUGGUUCGAAAUUGAAAGGCGGCUUCGGCUGUCACUUAUGGAUGGACCCGCGUCGCAUUAGCUAGUUGGUGAGGGACCGGCUAACCAAGGCAACGAUGCGUAGCCGACCUGAGAGGGUGAUCGGCCACACUGGGACUGUGACACGGCCCAGACUCCUACGGGAGGCAGCAGUAGGGAAUCUUCCGCAAUGGACGAAAGUCUGACGGAGCAACGCCGCGUGAGUGAUGAAGGCUUUCGGGUCGUAAAACUCUGUUGUUAGGGAAGAACAAGUGCUAGUUGAAUAAGCUGACACCUUGACGGUACCUAACCAGAAAGCCACGGCUAACUACGUGCCAGCAGCCGCCGUAA
rnacentral:rRNA from 1 species